rnacentral:tRNA from 1 species
GGGGACGUCGCUCGACAAUUUCACGACUGGGCCCGGGUCAGCCACUUGUCUGCAUGAUGGCUGGGGCCGAGUAACACCCAAUGCGCAGACUGCGCCCGGAGAAGUCCAUGCAAGGCCAGAUCGGACGCGGGUUCGAUUCCCGCCGUCUCCA